GCUCAUGGGAGGUUAGACGGAAUCAUACUUCGUGAGCUCGUGUUUCUUGCCGGUCCAAGCAAAGAACACUAAAUCUCAGGACUCGCUUGCCGUAGCCUCGUCCAGUUGGGCUAACGACGAGUUAAAUUUGAGAACUGGACUAAGCAUGUAGAUCCAAGGAUCGAGUUCUGGCGGACGCGGGUUCAACUCCCGCCGCCUCCACCA
rnacentral:tmRNA from 1 species